GACAGAGGUGCCGAGCGUUAGGCGGAAUCACUGGGCUUAAAGCGUGUGUAGGCGGGUCCGUAAGUACCUUGUGAAAUCCCAUGGCUCAACCAUGGAACUGCUUGGUAUACUGCGGAUCUUGAGCCACCUAGGGGCAAGUGGAACAAACGGUGGAGCGGUGAAAUGCGUAGAUAUCGUUUGGAACGCCAAUGGUGAAAACACCUUGCUGGGGGUGUGCUGACGCUGAGACACGAAAGCCAGGGGAGCAAACGGG
rnacentral:rRNA from 1 species